rnacentral:rRNA from 1 species
AACGAACGCUGGCGGCAUGCCUAACACAUGCAAGUCGAACGAGACCUUCGGGUCUAGUGGCGCACGGGUGCGUAACGCGUGGGGACCUGCCCUUAGGUUCGGAAUAACUCCCCGAAAGGGGUUCUAAUACCGGAUCAUGUCUUCGGACCAAAGAUUUAUCGCCUUUGGAUGGGCCCGCGUUGGAUUAGCUAGUUGGUAGGGUAAACGCCUACCAAGGCGACGAUCCAUAGCUGGUAUGAGAGGAUGAUCAGCCACACUGGGACUGAGACACGGCCCAGACUACUACGGGAGGGAGCAGUGGGGAAUAUUGGACAAUGGGCGAAAGCCUGAUCCGGCAAUGCCGCGUGAGUGAUGAAGGCCUGAGGGUUGUAAAGCUCUUUUACCCGGGAUGAUAAUGACAGUACCGGGAGAAUAAGCUCCGGCUAACUCCGUG